rnacentral:rRNA from 1 species
GACGAACGGCUGGCGGCGUGCCUAACACAUGCAAGUCGAGCGGAGUCGAUCGACGGAAGCCUUCGGGCGGAAGAUGGUUGACUUAGCGGCGGAUGGGUGAGUAACGCGUGGGCAACCUGCCUCGAAGACCGGGAUAACAGCCCGAAAGGGCUGCUAAUACCGGAUGUGGUCAAGGAUCCGCAUGGAUUUUGAUUAAGGGAAACCCGUUUCGAGAUGGGCCCGCGUCCUAUCAGCUAGUUGGUGAGGUAAAAAGCUCACCAAGGCGACGACGGGUAGCCGGCCUGAGAGGGUGACCGGCCACACUGGAACUGAGACACGGUCCAGACUCCUACGGGGGGCAGCAGUGGGGAAUCUUCCACAAUGGGCGAAAGCCUGAUGGAGCGACGCCGCGUGAGCGAAGAAGGCCUUCGGGUUGUAAAGCUCUGUCUGGAGGGACGAAGGAAGUGACGGUACCUCCGGAGGAAGCCACGGCUAACUACGUG